GUGUCCAUGGCGCAGCUGGUUAGCGCAUCGGGUUGUGAUCCCGAGGGUCGCCGGUUCGAACCCGGCUGGACACC